UACGAAGGGUGCAAGCGUUACUCGGAAUUACUGGGCGUAAAGAGCUCGUAGGCGGUCUGUCGCGUCGAUCGUGAAAACUUGGGGCUUAACCCUGAGCUUGCGGUCGAUACGGGCAUGACUGGAGUUCGGCAGGGGAGACUGGAAUUCCUGGUGUAGCGGUGAAAUGCGCAGAUAUCAGGAGGAACACCGGUGGCGAAGGCGGGUCUCUGGGCCGAUACUGACGCUGAGGAGCGAAAGCGUGGGGAGCGAACAGG
rnacentral:rRNA from 1 species